rnacentral:rRNA from 1 species
GGAUUAGAUACCCUGGUAGUCCACACCGUAAACGCUGUCUACUAGCUGUUUGUGAUUUUAAAUCGUGAGUAGCGAAGCUAACGCGCUAAGUAGACCGCCUGGGGAGUACGGCCGCAAGGUUAAAACUCAAAUGAAUUGACGGGGGCCCGCACAAGCGGUGGUGCAUGUGGUUUAGUUCGAAGCAACGCGAAGAACCUUACCUGGAUUUGACAUCCUUGGAAGUCCGCAGAGACGUGGACGUGCCCUUCGGGGAGCCAAGUGACAGGUGCUGCAUGGCUGUCGUCAGCUCGUGCCG